UUCAUUCUCACGUUUCCAAACCCAUUUUCAUAAAUUAAACCCACCUUUGAACCCCACUUUCUUCUUCUUCAUAUGCAUUAUACUUCUUUACAAUUAGUGGUUACAUAUUGAAGUAACAUUAUUUCAACCAAAGCAAAUCAAAUGGUGCAGAUUUUGGAAGACGGCUAGCAAGAAUCAAUUCCAAACAAUUGAAGGUAUACUUUAUAAUUUGAAAAUUAACGAUUUGUUGUUAUUGUUAGUUGUAUUCUACCUCCAAAUUAUGAAAGAUCAAUUAGGAAAUCAAAAUUAGCAAUGAAAUAUAAAAAUGAACAUUUGGAACUCAAUCGGCAUAGUCUUUUUGGGUUGCUAGCAUUUUCUGCUUAAAUUUUGGUGGCCGGAGAAUUUUUCUGGAACUUCCGGGGACACGGUCGACACUAGUCGGAUACGCCUGCAAUAUUGGUGGUUCUGUGCGACUCUGGGUUGUGUAAGCUUGAUUGGGCUCUGUCAUCUUCAGGCCUGUUUCUUUGUAUGGGUACUAUUUCCAAGUGGAUUUUGCUUGUGUAAUUUGGCCAUAGUUAUCAACUCUCAUCUUGUCGCUGCGCGAUCUACAUUCAGUGUAGUGUAGAAUAUUGGGCAAUUGGGAUCCAUCGUAAAGUUCUUCAGUACGGUAGCUGCUUGGUGUUCAAUUGGGCUGCUCUGUAGGCUUGCUGUUUUAGGCUUGCUAUCUCAUAUGAGCAAUCGAAAUCUAUUGUGUGGUCUUAUUCCUUUUAGUUGGGUUUGUGUAGUGUUUGGACGGUCAUUUAUUAGUGGGCUACUCAAGUAAUUAGGCAGUGAGUGAUCUUGUGGGUUGUCAGCAAUUGGGCCAAUUAUCUUAUGUUAGUUUGUGGGUUAAUUACUAUUAGACUAGUUACCUUGUUUGCGGCUCAGUGGUUACUUAUUGGACUUAUAGUUUCCCUUCAAUUAGCCUAUGGCCCAAGUACUAGUCUGUGUGGAUAAUAUCAUGUCAUUUCGAGGUGGAUGGAAUGUUAAUAAUGGCUAUGGUUUUCACUAUCGAGGUGGACAAUACACUAGAGGCAGUGGUCACUCGAUAAAUCGUAAACCUCGAAAAUGUACUUAUUAUGGUCGUAUACGUCACAUUGUUCGUUAUUGUUGGGACUUACAUUGCAAAACAUUUGCCCAUCAUGUCUCAUCUAAUGAGGAUCAUCACCCAUUAUCAGGACUAAUGCCACACUCUAGUUCAACACAAGAGUUUGACUUUUUAUGUGUAUCAAGGGAUAAGUAUGCUGAGCUCAUAAACAGACCAUUUCCACUACUAUGGCCGCUUUUGCUUAGUCAGAACUGUAUCUUUUCACAAUUUAUUUUUCUCCUUUCAUAAUCCGUAGAUUAUUUAUUCCAAAGCAACUAAACACAUGACUGACUCAUCUACUUUUCUUCUUGAUUAUUAUCUAGUUAUUUCUUUCAAAUAUGUCAUUCAUGUUAACGGCUACCAAACUAGUGUUGCAGGAUCAAGCAAUGUCCAUUUUAGUCCUAAUAUUGAUUUGUCAACGGUCCUUCAUGUUCCUGGCUUUCCCUUUAUUUUAUUGUCUAUUAGUAAAAUUACCAUAUCUCUUCAAUGUUCUGUAACCUUUUAUCUUUAUGUGUUUUUCAAGAUCUCAAGAAGAAGAGGAUGAAAGGUAUGGGGCAUAAAGUCGAUGGCAUAUAUUACAUGAAUUUUUCACUAGUCUCUCAUCCUCGAGCUCUCCAGUCUACUGUUUCACCCAUGUAGUGGUAUCGUCGUCUUAGUCACCAUUCUCCUUCCACUUUAAAACAUUAAGAUGUAAGUCUUCGUCAUGUGUCCUCCCUUGAUUGAGAAGCUUGUCAGUUUAUUUAACAUCAUCGUG
rnacentral:lncRNA from 1 species